UACGUAGGGUCCGAGCGUUGUCCGGAAUUAUUGGGCGUAAAGAGCUCGUAGGCGGUUUGUCGUGUCUGCUGUGAAAUCCCGAAGCUCAACCUCGGGCCUGCAGUGGGUACGGGCAGACUGGAGUGCGGUAGGGGAGAAUGGAAUUCCUGGUGUAGCGGUGGAAUGCGCAGAUAUCAGGAGGAACACCGAUGGCGAAGGCAGUUCUCUGGGCCGUAACUGACGCUGAGGAGCGAAAGCGUGGGGAGCGAACAGG
rnacentral:rRNA from 1 species